AGAGUUUGAUCCUGGCUCAGGAUGAACGCUAGCGGGAGGCCUAACACAUGCAAGCCGAGCGGUAUUGUUUCUUCGGAAAUGAGAGAGCGGCGUACGGGUGCGGAACACGUGUGCAACCUGCCUUUAUCUGGGGGAUAGCCUUUCGAAAGGAAGAUUAAUACUCCAUAAUAUAUUGAACGGCAUCGUUUAAUAUUGAAAGCUCCGGCGGAUAGAGAUGGGCACGCGCAAGAUUAGCUAGUUGGUGAGGUAACGGCUCACCAAGGCGAUGAUCUUUAGGGGGCCUGAGAGGGUGAUCCCCCACACUGGUACUGAGACACGGACCAGACUCCUACGGGAGGCAGCAGUGAGGAAUAUUGGUCAAUGGGUGCAAGCCUGAACCAGCCAUCCCGCGUGAAGGACGACUGCCCUAUGGGUUGUAAACUUCUUUUGUAUAGGGAUAAACCUACCCUCGUGAGGGUAGCUGAAGGUACUAUACGAAUAAGCACCGGCUAACUCCGUGCCAGCAGCCGCGGUAAUACGGAGGGUGCAAGCGUUAUCCGGAUUUAUUGGGUUUAAAGGGUCCGUAGGCGGACUUAUAAGUCAGUGGUGAAAGCCUGUCGCUUAACGAUAGAACUGCCAUUGAUACUGUAAGUCUUGAGUAUAUUUGAGGUAGCUGGAAUAAGUAGUGUAGCGGUGAAAUGCAUAGAUAUUACUUAGAACACCAAUUGCGAAGGCAGGUUACCAAGAUAUAACUGACGCUGAGGGACGAAAGCGU
rnacentral:rRNA from 1 species